rnacentral:rRNA from 1 species
AAGUCCUACGGGGCGCAGCAGUGGGGGAUAUUGGACAAUGGGGGAAACCCUGAUCCAGCGAUGCCGCGUGAGGGAAGAAGGUUUUCGGAUUGUAAACCUCUGUGGAGGGGGACGAUAAUGACGGUACCCACGGAGGAAGCCACGGCUAACUACGUGCCAGCAGCCGCGGUAAUACGUAGGUGGCAAGCGUUGUCCGGAAUUACUGGGUGUAAAGGGAGCGUAGGCGGGAUGUCAAGUCAGAAGUGAAAAUUAUGGGCUCAACUCAUAACCUGCUUUUGAAACUGAUAUUCUUGAGUGAAGUAGAG